rfam:Homo sapiens chromosome 1, GRCh38 reference primary assembly.
GCUGGGCAUGGUGGCACAUGCCUGUAAUCCCAGCUACUCGGGAGGCUGAGGCAGAAGCAUCACUUGAACCUGGGAGGCAGAGGUUGCAGUGAGCUGAGAUUGCGCCACUGCACUCCAGCCUGGGUGACAGAGUGAGACUCUGUCUCAA